rnacentral:tRNA from 1 species
AGCAGGAGUAGGAGAGCCAGUAAUUCUGGCAGGUUCAUAUCCCGCAGAUCGGUGGUCCAAAUCCACCUCCCGCUA